UACAGAGGGUGCGAGCGUUAAUCGGAAUUACUGGGCGUAAAGCGUGCGUAGACGGUUAUGCAAGUCAGAUGUGAAAGCCCCGGGCUCAACCUGGGAAUUGCAUUUGAGACUGCAUAGCUAGGAUGCGGAAGAGGGAAGUGGAAUUUCCGGUGUAGCGGUGAAAUGCGUAGAUAUCGGAAGGAACAUCAGUGGCGAAAGCGACUUCCUGGUCCAGCAUCGACGUUCAGGCACGAAAGCGUGGGGAGCAAACAGG
rnacentral:rRNA from 1 species